UACGGAGGGGGCUAGCGUUGUUCGGAAUUACUGGGCGUAAAGCGCGCGUAGGCGGACCUGCAAGUCGGGGGUGAAAGCCCGAGGCUCAACCUCGGAACUGCCUUCGAUACUGCGGGUCUCGAGUCCGGGAGAGGUGAGUGGAAUUCCUAGUGUAGAGGUGAAAUUCGUAGAUAUUGGGAGGAACACCAGUGGCGAAGGCGGCUACCUGGACCGGAACUGACGCUGAUGCGCGAAAGCGUGGGUAGCAAACAGG
rnacentral:rRNA from 1 species